rfam:Aedes albopictus isolate Foshan contig131052, whole genome shotgun sequence.
UAGCCUAGUGGUUAAGGCUACGGAUCGCCAGUCCGGAGACGGCGGGUUCCAUUCCCGU